rnacentral:pre_miRNA from 1 species
GGCGGAGCGGGGGAGUCCCUCAGUCCGGAUUGUGAGAGGCUGCAGGCCAGGCCAAGGGACCCACCAGUGCACC